rnacentral:lncRNA from 1 species
AAGGGAGGUAGGAGAAAUUACUAUGAAGUAGAAGGAAGAUCAUGAGCAAUGGUUUCUGAGUGUGCAGCCCAGCAUACAUGGGUUGCAGAUCAUGACUGGGAAAGGCACUAGAGGGAGACAGGAAAAGGAAGUGAGGGCAGAAGAGAUUGGACAGAUGCAGAAAGAAGUCAGGGAAGCUUGAGUCCCAUGGACCACUGAGGCUUCCAAGCACAGACGUGUCUCCAGGAUUUUUUUUUUUAAUUUUAGAAAGAGUUUAUAAUGUUACUAAACCAGGUGAAAUGUGACCCUAGAGAGUUGUGUAUGUAAUUAGGAGGCUGUUACAGGGCUCCAGAUUAAAAAAACUAUGCAAUAUUAUGAGAAGCUAAACUAUGAGUCAAGUGAGAAAAAAGAUAAUAAAUGCAUCUUAUAAUGGAGAUGGUUUGUGUUUGGGAGCUCAUCUGGAAGUAAAGGGUGAAGUAAUGUUAUUGUUGCUAAGAUUCUAGUUUUAGCACUAGAAGUAAGUUAUAAAGGAAGAGGAACAAGCUUAGAAAGAAAGAAAAUGAGUUCAGUUUUUAUCUUCCAUUUUAGGUGCCUAACUUAUGCAUAGAUUUGUUCCUUAUAAAAUUGAAUUUGAAACUAAUAGAGAACAAGAUUAAUGAUAUAGAUUUGAGAGUAAUUAACCAAAAAAAAAAAAAAGAGACGAGUUUAGACAUGGCAAUGAAUAAACAGGAGAACUACUGUUCAAAGGUUGCCAUGUCAGAUUUUUUUGCCUGUAAGUUAUUUGUUCACUUUCUGCAUUUAAACACCGUUUUAUACACCAUAUGUCCUUUUUAGUUUGUUGCAGUCCUAUGCAGGCACCAGCCUGUUAAAUAUGGCCUGCACUAUUCCCAUCUGUUAUUGGCCUGGCCCCUAAAGGUAUUCAAUUUGAAGACCUACAAGGAGAUAAAAGGAGAAAGGAUUCAACUUUGAGAAACAUCAACAUUCGAUUGGCUCCUGCUCCCAGACAUGUGAUAUCUUGCUUCCAAGACUUGUUUCGGCUGUUAAUGGAAAUGCCUCUGUAGUUUCAAGGCUAAGUAUGAUCCUGUCUGUUGGCUUCAAGAGGUAGCCUUCAUUGUAAAGGCAGCAGAAGUCAGAAUGCAAGGCAAAUAAGUCAACAUGAAUAGGGAACUAACAGGUGAGUUUUUUUCUGGUCCUAAUGUAGACAAUUUUAUAUCUUCCAUCCUGGUUUCACAUUUUUGGCAACACAGAAAAACACAUUUGAAGGUGAGGGAUAUUUGCCCUAGUUUGCAAAGUAGCAUAAAAUUCUGAUACUUUUUAUAAAGCUGUGAUAGUUUUCUUCACACUUACCUUCUCUAUGCCAUUCCUCCCAGAGACUGUCCAGAAAACAACCCAAAAACAAUGCAAGUUCCCUUCUUCAAUGUUGACCACACACCGCUUCUGACUUGGCUUCCACCACAACAGUGCCGUGGGGAGUGUGAAUACAAAGUUCAGGGUAGAGCAAACAGGACUAGCUGUACAGUGCCCAUAAGAGUGGUCCUGGUUAUUAGAAUGUGAGUUUCUCAGAAAUGGUGAACUUGCCUGAACUUGAUCCUUCUUUGAAAGAAUCUUAACUCAAUUAUAUGGGCUGAGAAACUAAUAAAGGUAAUAAUUCUAAGGAUCACGUGAGGAGGUAGGCGACUACAAUAGCUAAGGGAUCUGAUUCACUUGACUGUUUGGGGACCUAGGUAUAAAUAUGGUUUUAAAAGCUCCAUGUGUACUUUAAUGUGAAGGUAGAGUGGAUAUACAUUGAAUUGGAAUUUUUCCACAGUGGUAACUUCUUUUCAAGCACCAAGCAACAGUGAGAUUUUGGGUGGAGUGUCCAUUUGUAACAGAAUGUCAAAAAUCAUGCUACAGAGUAGUGAUUUGUAUGUUGCAUUUAGGGAGAGGACAAGAGAGAAUCAGAGGCUCUUCAAGAUGAUUAACUUCUGGACAGUUGGUCAGUCUCACUAGGCAGAAGUAAAGUUCUCAGGAGAGAGCCAAGAUCGCAGUGCUGCAAGGGGAUUUGACUAAUGGUGUCAGGCAGGGUGACAUGUGUGAUGUAUACAUAAGGCUUCCUGAGGCACAGCAGACCCUAGCGUUCCCCAGUAGAGGAGGAGAGACUCAGGUGAAUAGGGUCAUCAUAGCCCUCAUCCUGGUCAGAGUGGCUAAGGUAUAUCUGUAAAGGAAACUUUUUCAGGAAGGUAUAUUGGAGACUUCAGCUUAAUGAAGAUAAGAAUAUUUAGACUUGAAGUUCUGUCACGUCUACAUAAUCGCACUCUACUGCAGUGACAUUAUUUGAUUUCAGGUAUGAAACCGAACAACCUGAAAAUUCACAAAAGAAUAUAGAAUAUCAUAGAGUGUGGAACUGUCCUAGAUCCUACUACAUGACCCACUCAUCUGGCAGUCUAAGCUAAAUUACAGCCAUGAGUUCUGUUUUGUAGAUGCUCCUGCAUAUGUCUGGGUGCCAUGAAAUAUGAACUUGGAUACUCACAUGAUCCCUAGCCAGAUCACUUUUGGAACUGUUCCUCUGUUCAGCUUCCCAGCAGCCAAGAACUAAGCAGCUUUGCUCCCUCUGAACUUUGUCCAUGAUGUCUCUGCCUUGGAGCCAGCUGAUCGUGGACUAAAACCAUGAGCAAAUAAAUGUUCUCCUCUUUUAAAUUGUGGGUUUUUGGUAUUGCAUCUCAGAGAUCAGAAAGCCAAUACAGAAAAUUGGUAACCAAAAAAGUGAUAUUGUCACCGUAAAUAUACCUAACCAAGUGUUUUAGAAGCCUUUGGAACUAGUUUGCUGGAGGAGUUUAGAAAGGUUUGAAGAUCCAAUUUAAAGAACCCUUAGCAUUCAGUAAGCAGAGCCUGAUGGGUAAUUCUGGUCAGAGUUCAGAAGACCAGAAUGCUGAUAGAAAUGUGAACAGUAAGGGUCAGGCUCAAGGGGCUUCCAUUAGGAACAAGGACACCAUUGGCAUUUGGACCAGCAACCAGAGAUGUCACAUUCUGGGGGAAAAUUUGUGUCAUUUUGCCCAUGUCCUGAGACUUUGCUGGAUACUAAGUUUAAGGAGGAGGACUAAUCAAUCUGGAAGAGAAAAUGUAAUGAUAUCCCAGUCUUCAGACACUGGCCUGGUUCUGCUGGCUCUUUUUAGGCAGAUUUAUAGUGAGAAUCAGAGGAAAAAAGCAGAAAUUUUUGAAAAACUUAAAUUUCAGCCCAGAAGGAAACAUGUAGAGUUGGGCCCAAGAGUUGUUUUUGCUAAAGACAUAGUGCCAUUAGAAAGAAAUCAAGUAUUUUAUGCAGGGAUAAGAAGAAAGAUGAAAUGAUGGUAGCUCAGAAAUCAAGGCCUAAUGCAUUACAGGUUCAACAAUGCAGACAUGUCAACCUUUUAUUUGAGAAGACAGUCCUGGGUCAUGCGCUCAAGCAUGGCCUCCUCAGGAAUUCCUACUCUUCCUAGGACUCAUUUUAAUGAUCAGCUAUAGGAGCACUCAGCACUGCAGUAGCAAUGGUCUGAGGUGGCCUGGCUACAGCCUCCACUAACAGCAGACCUUAGCAUCAUUCACCUGGUGCUGCUUUUACCAGCAUGCAGAAUAUAAGAGUACAGAGUUCCGGAGGCUUCCAUCCAGAUUUCCAAGAAAGGCCUAGAGAUAAACCACAGGAAUGAAGCCAAUGGUGGUGCAGUGGAGGCCCCAGGAAGUUGUAGAAGCCAGUGACAUGGAAUAUCUGUCUGGUAAAGCUGUAGCUGUAAGUGGAGCCAGCCCAAGAGUGGGGCCAUGUGGGCUUUAACCAGCAAUGCCAGAGGGAUGAGGCCACCCCAGCCCUUUGGGACUCACAUUUUAGCUCUUUGUGCCCUGUAUGCCAGACAUGGAGUAACAGGACUUAAUGUUUUCCCUGCCAGGAUUUGGCUUACCUUCAGUCCACUUCUUUCCUAUCCCUCUCUUCCCCUCUUUCAGUAUGGGAAUUGUUAUCCUGUUCCCUUAUACCUUAGGAUAUGUAAUUUGUUUUUUAUUUUUACAGAGGUUCACAGCUAAAAGUUUACCUGGAUUCUCAGAAGAGACUUGGACUUUUGAAAAAUGCUGGAACUGUUGAGACUUUGGGGUAGAGAUUAUUGCAUUUCUCACUGUACACAGAAUAGUUGCAUUAUGUCAGGUGCAAUCAUAAAUUUCCUAUUGUCUAAAAAGAAGACAUUAAUUAUGGGUUAAGGAGCUGUCUUUAGGUGUCAAGUUGAUGAGGGGUGAUUUUGAUGGAUUAAAAAGCACCCAGGAAGCUAGUAAAGCACACUCCUGGAUAUGUCGGGGUGGGGGGUCACAGAAGCAUGGCCUUGGGUAGUGUUAUGGCCCCCAAGCAGGUUCUAUCCAUUCCUCUGCUCUGCUUCCUGGUACCAUGAACUAAGACUCUGCUCUGCCAUGUCUUUCCUCCAUGAUGUCUUUGCCUGAGACUGAGCUAAUCAGGGGUUUAAACUGUGAGCAAAUUAAAUCUCUCCUCCUUUAAACUGUGGGUGUUGGGUCUAGGAUCUGAGCUAUGAGAACACUCACCAAUGCACAUCCUUCUCCUAUGAACACUCCAGAAGAAUAACAAUAAAUAACCAUAUCAGAGUACCUAGAAAAUGAAAUUUAAAAUCAUAAGAAAAGGGGAUAAAACAUUGGGGAAUCAACUGGUUGGAAGGAGUGCAUAAAGAGAAAUAAGGGAAAAUCUGGCUCCAGAUUAGCUUUUUUCCCUGACCUUAGGAGACACAUCAGAUGUGACUUGCUGGUUUAAUUGCAAGGUAGAGAGGUUCUUCAAUCUACCUGUUUCCUACUAUUGUUUUCCGUUGUUGCUUUCUCACUGUCAUAUUCUUUUGCCUUUUAUUUCUCCCCUCUUGCUCCUCUUCUCUGACCUUUCCCUUUUUCAUAUGUGAUUUUCUUCCUUUAAUUCACUUCAGAACUUCCUGAUCUACAAUAUUAUUAGUUUAAGUUUGUUUGACUUCUUUAAUUCAAUCAGCGACAGUUUCAGAUUUGCACUUCUAUUUUUGGAGUUCAGAGGGAGUACUUUCAAAUUCCUCCAUUGUUCUGUAGAAUCAUGUCUAUCUUAUCACAUUUCUAAUCAAACUUAAUCUUAAAAUACCUGUCAUUUCUCUUAGACUUUGGAAGUUUUUAUAGUCUCAGGGAUAUUUUUGAGUUUUUUAUUCAUAAAAUAAAAUCAUAAUUUGAGAGGAUGAUUUGACCUAUCUUUAUGGUUUAUUCAGUUAACUAUAAUUCAUAAAAACAACUUUGUAUUGUUUACUCUUUUUUUGAAGUUUCUUUUUCUGAUAAAGCUGAAUUUCAUUCAUCCCAGACUGGUUUUAAAUAAUUACAAGAGCCGAGCCUGCCUUCAGAUGAAUGCAGAAGUGCAUAUUUAUGAGAUUCUGGAUUAUUGCAUUUGUACCAACUUGACUAAUACAAGAAACCUUGGUAAAAUCACACUUGAUUAUACUACUGCUUCUUUGAUUUUCAGAUGUGCCAUCUCAGGAAGAAAACUGGAGACAACCCCAUAACUUGGACUUUCACCACAGUGUUGCUGCCAGUUAAACUCUGACCUGUUACUGUCCCUCCCACAAGUCUUCCUUGACUACAUCAUUAUAAAAGAUAUUCUCCAAUAAUUACUCACUAGCCCAG